GAAGGCAGUCCUGUAAGAUGAGAAGGAAUAGGAGAAAAUCCAGAAUCGAAGGCACCUGGAUUUCCUGGGCAUUCUCCUGGGGGCUCAGGAUGAAAGUGGGAUCAAGCUGUCUGACAGAGACCUCCGGGCUGAGGUGGACACAUUCAUGUUUGAAGGAUAUGACACCACCACCAGUGGCAUCUCCUGGUUCCUCUACUGCAUGGCCCUGUACCCGGAGCACCAGCAUUGUUGCCGGGAGGAAAUCUGUCAGAUCCUUGGGGGCAGGGACUCCUUCCAGUGGGAUGAUCUAGCCAAGAUGACCUGCUUGACCAUGUGCAUCAAGGAGAGCCUCCUCCUCUACCCGCCUGUGCCUCAGGUGUCCCACCACCUCAUCAAGCCUGUCACCUUUGUGGAUGGCCACACUCUACCUGCAGGUGGGAGAGGGUGCAUUUGGGGCUGAAACCUGGGUCUUUGAGGAUGCUUCUCUGACACUCUCUGUGCCUUUGGCUGAAUCUUUGCACCCAUGGCAAAGAACUCAUGCUUUGUGCUGGCCUGGGUCCAAUCCUGGCUCUACAACAUGGGUAAACCCCUCUACCCCUAAAUUCUUUUUCCUCUUCUUUAAAAUGACGUUGAGGAAAGACCUGCCUUACAAGGUUGCUGCCAGGAGUAAAUCAUUAGGACUGUCCUGUAUCACUAUGCAAGUUGUUCCCUGAAAAACUUCAGGGGGCAUCAUUCAUAU